UUCCGGUUGAUCCCGCCGGACCUGACUGCUAUCGGAUUGAUACUAAGCCAUGCGAGUCUUUGUAGUAAUACAAGGCAUACGGCUCAGUAACACGUAGUCAACCUACCCUAUGGACGAGAAUAAUCUCGGGAAACUGAGCAUAAUUCUCGAUAGAUCAUAAUGCCUGGAAUGGUUUAUGGUUAAAAUGAUUCGUCGCCAUAGGAUGGGACUGCGGCCUAUCAGCUUGUUGGUGAGGUAAUGGCCCACCAAGGCGAUUACAGGUACGGGCUCUGAGAGGAGAAGCCCGGAGAUGGGUACUGAGACACGGACCCAGGCCCUAUGGGGCGCAGCAGGCGAGAAAACUUUGCAAUGUGCGAAAGCACGACAAGGUUAAUCCGAGUGAUUUCUGCUAAAGAAAUCUUUUGCCAGUCGUAAAACCGCUGGUGAAUAAGGGGUGGGCAAGUUCUGGUGUCAGCCGCCGCGGUAAAACCAGCACCUCAAGUGGUCAGGAUGAUUAUUGGGCCUAAAGCAUCCGUAGCCGGCUUUGUAAGUUUUCGGUUAAAUCCAUGUGCUCAACGCAUGGGCUGCCGAAAAUACUGCAUAGCUAGGGAGUGGGAGAGGUAGACGGUACUCAGUAGGUAGGGGUAAAAUCCUUUGAUCUAUUGAUGACCACCUGUGGCGAAGGCGGUCUACCAGAACACGUUCGACGGUGAGGGAUGAAAGCUGGGGGAGCAAACCGGAUUAGAUACCCGGGUAGUCCCAGCUGUAAACGAUGCAGACUAGAUGAUGCAUUGGCAUAAUAGCCAUUGCAGUGUCUCAGGGAAGCCGUUAAGUCUGCCGCCUGGGAAGUACGUACGCAAGUAUGAAACUUAAAGGAAUUGGCGGGGGAGCACCACAAGGGGUGAAGCCUGCGGUUCAAUUGGAGUCAACGCCGG
rnacentral:rRNA from 1 species